UCAGAUGAUCACACUGUUCACUGCUGCUUGUGUCACAGAAGGAUGGAGCGGAUCCGUUUGGCUUGGCUGAGCUGCAGAGGAGUCAGAGGCAGGAGCUGUGGGAGAGACAGCUGAAGUUGCUGCAGCACAGCCUCACUGCUCAACGUCCAGAGCACUGGAUCACUGGAGACGAGGAGGACGCGGGCGACAUGGAGGAAGAGAUUUCUGAGGAACAGAUACAGACAAUGGCUGUAAUAGAGGGCAUUACAAUUGUUUCUACAGUCUCUGUAGACAUUUUGCAGGAAAAUGACACUUACACUUCUCUUCUCGAAUGUGCCCAGAUGCUAAACAGUAUAGAGAGCACUUUGCCACUGUCACACACACCCCUCCAGUGGGCUGUUCAUUGGCUGUUUGAAUGCUGGUGGAGACGGUAUCUAAAAGGGAAGGAGGAGCUUGGAUGGACUGCUUUCCUUGUCUGUUUAGAGAAUACUGUUACACUUGAGAAACCAGUACUAGAACAACUUUAUAUCCAUUAUAUAUAAUAAACAGUCAGAUAAUUUGAUAUUCUAUAUUGUGGAUGAAAAGUGUUCAUGUUCUGGGUAUGUUCCCAGGUCAGUGAGCUCAGAAGGCUCUGUACUCUAUGAGAGGUGCAUCUGAGAGAGGGCAGCAGGUCAUUGAUCCUCUCCUCCAGUGUUUCUUUAGGGUCUCUCAUAUUAAAUAAGAAGAGGUUUGUGAAUAUGUGUUUGUGGGCUCAUACAUCUGAGACAUUAUUUUCCACUGUAGAUCAUUUUUAUAUAAUUUUGUUUAUUGCUUAUUUUUCAGGGGAAACAGUUCCUUGCCUUCCUUUUUUCUUGGAACGAUAACUUCAUUCGGAUGAUUCAUGAAACUAUUAAGAAUCAGCUGCAGUUUUUCCCAAAGUAUUUCAAACACUCAUGACCUCUUGUUUUAUAAUGCCGUGCUUUGUAACUUUGUUUAUGUUAAGAGACAAUACGAAGGGGAGACAGGCCACUUGUAGUAUGAAACAGAUAACCUGCUAAUCUCAAUAUAUACAGUCGUGGCCAAAAGUUUUGAGAAUUACAUAAAUAUUAGUUUUCAAAAAGUUUGCUGCUAAACUGCUUUUAGAUCUUUGUUUCAGUUGUUUCUGUGAUGUACUGAAAUAUAAUUACAAGCACUUCAUACGUUUCAAAGGCUUUUAUCGACAAUUACAUGACAUUUAUGCAAAGAGUCAGUAUUUGCAGUGUUGGCCCUUCUUUUUCAGGACCUCUGCAAUUCGACUGGGCAUGCUCUCAAUCAACUUCUGGGCCAAAUCCUGACUGAUAGCAACCCAUUCUUUCAUAAUAACUUCUUGGAGUUUGUCAGAAUUAGUGGGUUUUUGUUUGUCCACCCGCCUCUUGAGGAUUGACCACAAGUUCUCAAUGGGAUUAAGAUCUGGGGAGCUUCCAGGCCAUGGACCCAACAUUCUGGUCCCCGAGCCACUUAGUUAUCACUUUUGCCUUAUGGCACGGUGCUCCAUCGUACUGGAAAAUGCAUUGUUCUUCACCA
ensembl:lncRNA